UACGAAGGGGGCUAGCGUUGCUCGGAAUCACUGGGCGUAAAGGGUGCGUAGGCGGGUCUUUUAAGUCAGAGGUGAAAUCCUAGGAGCUCAACUCCAGAACUGCCUUUGAUACUGGCGAUCUCGAGUCCGGAAGAGGUGAGUGGAACUCCUAGUGUAGAGGUGGAAUUCGUAGAUAUUAGGAAGAACACCAGUGGCGAAGGCGGCUUGCCAGAACGCGCUCGACGGUGAGGGAUGAAAGCUGGGGGGAGCAAACCGG
rnacentral:rRNA from 1 species